GAUGAACGCUGGCGGCGUGCCUAAUGCAUGCAAGUCGAGCGAACGGACGAGAAGCUUGCUUCUCUGAUGUUAGCGGCGGACGGGUGAUUAACACGUGGAUAACCUACCUAUAAGACUGGGAUAACUUCGGGAAACCGGAGCUAAUACCGGAUAAUAUUUUGAACCGCAUUGUUCAAAAGUGAAAGACGGUCUUGCUGUCACUUAUAGAUGGAUCCGCGCUGCAUUAGCUAGUUGGUAAGGCAACGGCUUACCAAGGCAACGAUGCAUAGCCGACCUGAGAGGGUGAUCGGCCACACUGGAACUGAGAAAGGGUCAAGACUCCUACGGGAGGCAGCAGUAGAGAAUCUUCCGCAAUGGGCGAAAGCCUGACGGAGCAACGCCGCGUGAGUGAUGAAGGUCUUCGGAUCGUAAAACUCUGUUAUUAGGGAAGAACAUAUGUGUAAGUACCUGUGCACAUCUUGACGGUACCUAAUCAGAAAGCCACGGCUAACUACGUG
rnacentral:rRNA from 1 species